CCUACGGGGCGCAGCAGUCGAGAAUCAUUCACAAUGGGGGAAACCCUGAUGCAGCGACGCCGCGUGAGGGAAGACGGUCUUCGGAUUGUAAACCUCUGUCUUUGGGGAAGAAAAUGACGGUACCCAAAGAGGAAGCUCCGGCUAACUACGUGCCAGCAGCCGCGGUAAUACGUAGGGAGCGAGCGUUGUCCGGAAUUACUGGGUGUAAAGGGAGCGUAGGCGGGUGAGAAAGUUGAAUGUUAAAUCUACCGGCUUAACUGGUAGCUGCGUUCAAAACUUCUUGUCUUGAGUGAAGUAGAGGCAGG
rnacentral:rRNA from 1 species